GGAUCUCUUGGUUCUGGCAUCGAUGAAGAACGCAGCAAAAUGCGAUAAGUAAUGUGAAUUGCAGAAUUCAGUGAAUCAUCGAAUCUUUGAACGCACAUUGCGCCCGCCAGUAUUCUGGCGGGCAUGCCUGUUCGAGCGUCAUUUCAACCCU
rnacentral:rRNA from 1 species